UACGAAGGGGGCUAGCGUUGUCCGGAAUUAUUGGGCGUAAAGAGCUCGUAGGCGGUCUGUCGCGUCUGCUGUGAAAACCUAGGGCUUAACUCUGGGCGUGCAGUGGGUACGGGCAGGCUAGAGUGCGGUAGGGGAGACUGGAAUUCCUGGUGUAGCGGUGAAAUGCGCGGAUAUCAGGAGGAACACCGGUGGCGAAGGCGGGUCUCUGGGCCGUAACUGACGCUGAGGAGCGAAAGUGUGGGGAGCGAACAGG
rnacentral:rRNA from 1 species